rnacentral:lncRNA from 1 species
GGGGCGGACGGAGACCAAUUAAAGACACGCAGGCGGCGAGAGAGAAGAAAGGUCACAUUGGAUUCUUCUUUAGAAAGAAAAAAGGAAACUAACGUCACUUUCUAACCUUCAAUACUCUUUCACAUGGCAUGAACACAACCUACACCUAUAAACCUUUCAACACACUAAACCAUAAAGAUAAUAUCACCUUUCCAUUUCAACUAAUUUUCUCCAUCUUCUCCAUUUUUUUAUCACUUCCACCAUGUGAAAAACACACUUCAACAUCUUCUUCAACAUCAACACCACUUUCUUAUAACCUUUUUCUCUUAAUACUAUAACCAUGUAACCUCCAAACAUACUUAUCUCAUUAAUCUCUCAUAACACCUACCACAUAUCAUCUCCGGUCUCUCAAAAAAAAUUGGAACCAAAGUCUCCACCUUUCUUCUUUACUACAACACUAUCAACUCCAUAAAACUCACCUUCAAAAUACCAUAACAUUAUCUUCCUCUUCAUUCAACCAUUUUUUGUCCAAGCUUCACAUUGCUACAACAAUAUUCACAUCACAACAACUUAACAAAUUUUAAAACUUUCAUCUCACCAUUAUAACCAUUAUAACCUUCAUAAACAUAUUUCACACCACCAUAAUAACCUCUCUUCAUCUACUCAACCAUAAAACUUCACUACCACUUACCAUGUUGCUCCAUAAAAAAAUCUAUCACAUGCUUCAUAAACCAUAACUCCAAUAACUAAAUAAAUCAAACUGAAAAUAGAAGAAUAAAUGGAUUGGAAACACCACACCUCGAUGAAUCCGGCCGAGCAACACUCCACCGCCGUUCCUCAUACAUGUCGGUAAUCGUCUUUUUUUUUCUUUCUUUUGCACAUUUUCCUUCAUGAUUUUACUUGUUGAUUUGUGAUUUUAUUAUGGGCAAAGAUGUGAAGAGAUGGAAGUGUAUUAUGAAAUAUUUGUUUGUUUAUUUGACACCAUUUGAAUUUAUUUGAGAGAGGAAGAGAAAUGUGAGGAAACAAUGGGGAAAAUAUGUGUUUGUUUUACUCUCGGUAGCAGGGAGAUGAGAGAGAUGAAGAGUUUUGUUCUCUUUUAAUUUUUGUAGAAAAAUGGGAGAAGGAGAUUUUGUGUUGUCUUAUUCUAUGACACAUGUCGAUUUUGGAUAGGACCAUUUUAAAUUUGGAAAAGCCAUGCUCCAAGCAGCAGCAACCCCACACUCUUGUCACUGUUUUUUUCUCUCUUUAUUUUUUGUUUAAUUUUAUUUUUUUAAUUAAUUUUAAUUAUCUAUUAUUAUUAUUAUAACUAGGACACUUAUUUAUUUUCU